ACCCUGAUGGUCCAGUGGUUAGGAUUCUGCACUUCCACUGCAGGGGGCAUCGGUUUGAUUCCUACUCGGAGAA
rnacentral:tRNA from 1 species